UACAGAGGGGGCAAGCGUUGUUCGGAAUUACUGGGCGUAAAGGGCGCGUAGGCGGCCUGUUAAGUCAGACGUGAAAUCCCCGGGCUCAACCCGGGAACUGCGUCUGAUACUGGCAGGCUUGAAUCCGGGAGAGGGAUGUGGAAUUCCAGGUGUAGCGGUGAAAUGCGUAGAUAUCUGGAGGAACACCGGUGGCGAAGGCGGCAUCCUGGACCGGUAUUGACGCUGAGGCGCGAAAGCCAGGGGAGCAAACGGG
rnacentral:rRNA from 1 species